CCAGACUCCUACGGGAGGCAGCAGUGAGGAAUAUUGGUCAAUGGGCGGGAGCCUGAACCAGCCAAGUCGCGUGAGGGAUAACGGCCCUAUGGGUUGUAAACCUCUUUUGUCAGGGAGCAAAGGGCGCCACGUGUGGCGUUUUGCGAGUACCUGAAGAAAAAGCAUCGGCUAACUCCGUGCCAGCAGCCGCGGUAAUACGGAGGAUGCGAGCGUUAUCCGGAUUUAUUGGGUUUAAAGGGUGCGCAGGCGGAAUGUCAAGUCAGCGGUAAAAUUUCGGGGCUCAACCCCGUCGUGCCGUUGAAACUGGCGUUCUUGAGUGAGCGAGAAGUAUGCGGAAUGCGUGGUGUAGCGGUGAAAUGCAUAGACAUCACGCAGAACUCCGAUUGCGAAGGCAGCAUACCGGCGCUCAACUGACGCUCAUGCACGAAAGCGUGGGUAUCGAACAGGAUUAGAUACCCCCGUAC
rnacentral:rRNA from 1 species